CCCUUAGAUGUUCUGGGCGGCCCGCGCACUACAAUGGCGUGUGCAGCGAGUGCCGAAGUAGAGUUUUCCGAGGUAUUCUUGCAAUGCUCGUUUUGAUGGGGAUAGACCCUUGCAACUGUUGGUUUUGAACGAGGAAUUCCUUGUAAGCAUGGUUUAUCAUCCGACGCUGAAUGCGUCCCUGCCCUUUGUACACACCGUCCGUCGCUCCUACCGAUGAGUCGUCCGGUGAAGUUCGUAGACCUCGUGAUCGCGGAUCACUGGGGGAAGCAAAAUGAACCUCGCGGUUUAGAGGAAGGAGAAGUCGUAACA
rnacentral:rRNA from 1 species